UUUAUUAUUAUUUAUUGUUUUUAAGCUUUAGGUACUACUCCACCUUUUCACCUGAUGGGAUCUUACUUGUAAUAAGUCCAACCUAUUACUCAGAGUAGAGCAUCCUACACAGCAAUUGUUCCUCCAGUUUCGGGCACAGGAACUUGUUCCUCCAGUUUCGGGCACAGGAACUUAUUAUAUUCAUUAGUUUUAGCUCUUAAACAGUUUCCCUUUUUCUCAAUUAAUAGCAAUGAUCGGUCUAUCUGUUACUCUAGCCUUUCCCCCACACUUAGUUCUAAUCAUACCUCCAUUAUAUUCAAAUUAGAGAACUUAGUCUAAAGAAUAAAUAUUUUAGAGAUUUAUCUAGACAUUACUAAGUUUGACGGUGUUCAAGCAGUUGUGCAUUAAGUUGCAAAGACUAUCAUGUCAAGUAUCAAAACAAAAAACUCCAAAAAUUUCACUGACCCUACAGCUAUCUGCCCUAGCCUUAGAACAUGUGACUACUCAUGAUGAUUUAUUUUAUUAUUAUUAUUUUUUAAUUUUUUUUUUAAAACACA
rnacentral:lncRNA from 1 species